UCGAAGCCCAUCGAGACGACUGUUGUUGUGAUUUUGGGCUAUACAAAUAAAAUUGAAUUGAAUUGAAUUGAAUUUGGAGCCAGGUGGAGUAAAGACUGACCUCAUCGCAGCUGAAUGGACUGCAUUGAAAUCUCUAGUCGACAAAAGGUAGGUGCUUUUUAAUUAUCAUACAGAUUGUCUUUUGGAUACCAAUAUGAGCCCUCUUAGUUAUUGAAUUAAUGUCCAAGUUCACUGGCUGUCACCAGGCAUCCCAAUAACUCCAGUGACAUGAGCUGGGCUUCCCUCAAAGAGUUUGGCCAGUGCGUCCCCAACUUGAUGGAGCUGGUAGAUCUGGUCCUCACCAUCCCUGUGACAUCCUCUGAAGUUGAGCGCUGCUUCAGUGUAAUGAAGCAAGUCAAGACAGACUCAGCGGGGACUUGCUAAACAUGUUGAUAAGCAUUGUCCUGCUGUCCCCAUCAGAGGCAGCUUUUGAUUCUCUUCCUGCAGUCCAGCAUUGGUGGGAGGCCUGCCAGAGACGUGAGCGGCAUCAGCCUCAGCAGACUAGUCGGACGUUGACGAUGAUGACAUAUCCCUUGAGGAACUUGUCUGUAGAGGCAGUUGAUAUAUGUAUAGAAUAAAUAAAGAUGCAAGUACUGACAUCUGAGUAGGUUUCGUUGCUGUUGAAUAUUGGCAUCGAAGGACAACCAAAAAUUGGGGAGGACAACCAAAUAUUUAUUUUUCCUUAUUUAUUAUUUUUCCUUACUAAUGCUGCUCAUAGUUGAGGAACCCCCCACUCAGCACAGACACAGGAGUGGAACCCCCACUGUGCUGGCUGUUGAAGACAGCCCGCUUCUGUCUCAUUUUAUCUCUUUCCUCUUCAUCAUUUGCUCUUCUGCCUCAGACUGAAGACAGUAGAAACGUCGGAUGACACCCCUUCAGAUGUUUAGAGGAGCUGCAGCAGGAGGUUCUGGAGGGUGUUGUGAGGACUUCCUCACAACUCCAGAGUCCAGCUGAAAUGGCAUCUGCUGAGGCAGAUGGAAGAUGUCCUGAUACACUGAAGAAGAUAACCGUGGAGAAUAUUGUCAUCCGGAUGAACGAGUGAUGGAUGAAACCGGCCUCUUCUGGAGGAAGAGUGACGAUCCUGAUGUGCCUUACAAAGAAUGAGCUGCUGGUUAUGUCGACGCGAACAUCACCAACCCAAAUGUGGCAGGAGCUGUUCUGAGAAGGUUCUGGAUUUCUCAGAGCUUAAACUGGGAGUCAGACUUUACUCUCAGUCAAAUGCAGGGAGAAAUCACUGACGGGAACUCCUGAUGCACCUGCAGCUCCUCUCCACUCAUCCAGUCUGGAUUUAAGACCAGCGUUUCCAGCCUUUUCCUACAAGUCUGUCAGCUAACUUCCAUAGAUUCCCUCCUGGAUCAUCGUCGUUUUUUUUGGGACAGCAGUGACUCCUCACCACAUCACUCCUCCUCUUUGACCACGACAGAAUCAGGAGGAACCACUCAUUACAGCAGCCAGUAGCAUAAUAAAAAAUGUAAUAAUAAAUAACAUAAAAUGUUGUGUUUAUUGAAGGAAAAUAUCCCCCAUUUUGAAAUGUUGUUUGGAACAAACAAAGAUUUACAUUACUUUAAGUUGACUUUUAAUAAAACAUUGAUUGAGAUGAA